UUAAUUGAAACCAAAAAGAGGUAUAUCACUGUUAAUGAUAAGAAUGAGAAUUUCUCCAAUUAAA
rnacentral:tRNA from 1 species